rnacentral:rRNA from 1 species
GCAAGUCGAGCGAGAAAGCUUCUUCGGAAGUGAGUAGAGCGGCGAACGGGUGAGUAACACGUAAAUAACCUGCCCUUAAGUUUGGGACAACCUUUCUAACGAGAGGCUAAUACCGGAUGUGAUGAUUGAACUGCAUGGUUCGAUUAUUAAAGAUGACCUCUUCUUGAAAGUUAUCGCUUAAGGAUGGAUUUGCGGACUAUUAGUUUGUUGGUAAGGUAACGGCUUACCAAGACGAUGAUAGUUAGCCGACCUGAGAGGGUGAUC